rnacentral:rRNA from 1 species
UACGAAGGGUGCAAGCGUUACUCGGAAUUACUGGGCGUAAAGGGUGCGUAGGUGGUUGUUUAAGUCUGUUGUGAAAUCCCUCGGCUUAACCGGGGAACUGCGUCUGAUACUGGACGGCUUGAGUUCGGGAGAGGGAUGCGGAAUUCCAGGUGUAGCGGUGAAAUGCGUAGAUAUCUGGAGGAACACCGGUGGCGAAGGCGGCAUCCUGGACCGACACUGACACUGAGGAGCGAAAGCCAGGGGAGCAAACGGG